AACAGUGUGGCAAGGAAAUAAGGUCUCUUGCCAACAGCCAGUGAAAAACUGAGGCCUCCUGUUCUCCCAAAAGCCAUGAGAGUGAACCAUCUUGGAAGUUGCUUGUCCAGCCCUAGUGAAGUCUUCAAAUAACUGCAACCCCAGCUGAAAGCUUGACUGUUGUUGAGAGACCCUAAGCCAGAACCACAGAGCUGAGCCACUUCUGGAUCACUGGACUUCUGAAACGCGUGAGAUAAUAAAAGUUCGUUUUACCAUGCUUGGUUUUAAGAUAUUAUGAUACACAAUGAGUAACACAUGCAGAUGUCCUUCAUCUUUAUCAAAUGACAGUAUGCGUGAAAUAGUCUGAACACAAAAGUGCUCUAUGGAGUUCAUUAGUCUUUCUCUUUAUGCUAAAUAGGUACUAAAAAUUAAAAGCUUAUGUAACUUCAAAAACUAUGCUUUCAUAACAUACAUAACUUAGAAAUAUGAUAUUAAACAAUAAAAAUGUGUGUUUCUCAGAUCUUAAAAGAUCAUUUUCAAAUAUUGAGUUGUAUAUGAUGGUUGAAAUUAAAAUUUAAAAUAUUCUGCUAUGUAAAAAUAGAACAUUCAUUUACAGAAUAUGGAAAAUAUGUAUCAAAUCAUUCUAUCAACUGCUCUAAUGUCUAUAAUCUAUAUUAUAAAUGAAAUAACAGUGGAUAUCUGUGCUAGUUUUUUGAAAAAGUUUGCUCAAAAAUAUUUAUAUCCUCUUUUUCUCUAGAGCACAGUUCUGGGUCCUGGAACAAACCCAAUUUUAUAUCUUUGUUCCUUUUCCCUCCCCAACUGACCUACCAUUCACAGGCAUAUUCUUAAAAUACCACUCUUAUGACUUGAAGCUCAAAUACGGUUUGUAUUUUGAGAAAACUUUCACAUAUAAUGAGCAGAACAAAAAGAUGGUAGCACAGGGUCGAUGGCAGAAGAGGGGCAAAGCUCAGCGUUAACAGGGAAAAUAAUAAAAAAUAAAUGUAGGCUUGGUGCAAAUGCUGAAAAUCACAUGGUAAAAAGUCGAAGUUAUCGCUCAGUGUCAGGAAGGAGGAAUUACGAGAGACUCAAAUUCCUGAAGGAAAUCAUGAAUGACCUGGAUGGGGCUAGCAAAGCAUACUUCCAAAACAAGAGGGAUAGAGAAGCAAAGCAGCUCAUUGGCAGCAAUCCCAACCAGUCCCUCCUCAUCAUGGAGAUGGAGAGCGGUGCUUCAGCCAAAGACAUGAAUGGAACCUUGAAGCUUGCUUUUCCAGACUGAUUUCCCUCAAAAGUUUACCAUGCUCUUCAAGGGGACAAUGAGCCUGAAGAGAUCACAUGCUUGUGUCAAUUACCCCGAAAUGCAGCCAACUGGACCUUAAAAACCAGUGAGGGGAUGCAACAAGUGUCAGGCUUCAAAGACCCCAAAGGCGGUGGCAAAGAUGUGCUCGCCCAGGCCAUAGGCAAUAACGUGGGAUGCCAGCAGGAGGUGCUACGACUGGUCACUGAAAUAAGAGGAGGGCCAGCUGCCACUCAGAAGCUCCCACCCUCAGUCGGAUGUGUCAGUCCAGUCAGGAGUUCUUCGUUUGUCACAAGGACUUUUGACCUUUGAGACCUUUAAACAGCCCUAUCUGUCCUCCUAACCUAACAGUAACUGAAACACGUCUGAGAGCCGUCAUGUGACUCAGUGCCCCUUUACUUUUCUACCCUGAGCCCUAGGUGUCAGCACUGCAUGUCUGGAACCACUAAUUUGGGAUUGCUAUUUAUCAUGCUUGCUUUUGUAGAUACAGUUCUCCAAGCAUGAGGUUCUGUAUCUGCAAGUAGGAACAAUUUUUGAUGCAAAGAAUAAAAGGACCAAUUUACACACUUGAUGGAUGGAGUCUCUUCAACACAGAGUGACCACCUCAACUCUCCUCCAUUCUCAGCUUUUGGUGUAUUACCACUGAACAUUUAAUAAACGCCUAUGAAAACAUGAGGCAGAUAUUUGAAUCUAUGAAAAUUACAUGUAGGACUACCUUGGUGAAUAUGAAGACUUUUCCUUGGAAGAAGGCAAGGUGAAUUUGGAGAAGAAUUCCAUCCUGAGCUGCAAGAUCCUUCCUCUAAUCAUUAAUCUAAGGAUCAUUCUAAUAGCACUUUCUAAAAUACUCUGUAUCUAAUUCCCAUUCAAUAAAAUACAUUUAA